rnacentral:lncRNA from 1 species
ACUAAAUACUUGGACAACAAACCUUCUAAAACAAUAAAAUAGAAUAGAAUAAAACAAAUGGAGCCUAAAAGGAGUAGCUGGCAAGGCAGUUGUAAUGGCUAUUCUUUGAAGGUAAUAUCUGAGUUGCGUUGUUUGAUGGGAAGGAGGCGAAAACUGAAAGCAACAAGCAGAAGUGGACGACAAAAGCCGCUUUUAUGUUGGCCGGGCAAUAGUAUCAUUGUUGUACAAAAAGUGCUUCUUUAUCAAUUAUAAUGCUUUCUCAAUUGCUUCCUGUUGAAGGUUUCUGAAAUUGCUUGUAUAAAAAUAAUGGCCAUGAGUGUUGUCCUAUAAACUAUCAAAUGAUUCCCUGCCAAAUGUCAUGUCUUUUCC